GCCCCGGCCCGCCCCCGCCGGCGGAGCCCGGCCUCCUUCACACCUGACUCGGGCCAGCCCGGGUCCCGCGCGCGCAGAGAAGGGACCACGACGCGUCCCCGCCGAGUUCUUUCUUUCCAGGACAGGCUUGAGAGGGUUGGAAGGAUGUGGUAGGAAGGACAGAUGGCGAUGCAGGACUCGAGCUGGCGAACGUGCCCACCUUU
rnacentral:lncRNA from 1 species